rnacentral:rRNA from 2 species
CUGUGUGUUGUUGGGUAGGGGAGCGUUCUGUAAGCCUGUGAAGGUGUGUCGUGAGGCAUGCUGGAGGUAUCAGAAGUGCGAAUGCUGACAUAAGUAACGAUAAAGCGGGUGAAAAGCCCGCUCGCCGGAAGACCAAGGGUUCCUGUCCAACGUUAAUCGGGGCAGGGUGAGUCGACCCCUAAGGCGAGGCCGAAAGGCGUAGUCGAUGGGAAACGGGUUAAUAUUCCCGUACUUGGUGUUACUGCGAAGGGGGGACGGAGAAGGCUAUGUUGGCCGGGCGACGGUU